rnacentral:misc_RNA from 1 species
GACACGAUACAAAAAUCCAAAAGUGGACUUAAAAUGAAAUGAAAGCUAUGAUAUUGAAGAGUGAUAUUCUUGAAAAAGAGUGCGUGUAAAUGUAAUUUGAGUUAAAUGUCUCUCGUAUCAAAUUUGUUUUCCUUCCUUUUUUUUUUUUCACUCAGGUUAUCUGUGUAUGCAUCCAUUGAUAGAAUCAGCAUAUCAACAUACAUAUCAUUGCAAAAUUAACAAAGCAUUUUUAGAUAACUCAACUCAGGAAAAGUAUGAUUUAGAUGCAGGGAAAAUGAAACAUAUUGACACAGUCCAGAUAUAAUCAGUGAUUGUGUACAUGUGUCUCUGUGUAUCAGGGGGAAGGGUGGAGAAGGGAAUGAGAGUCUGAUCUAUCUUGAAUUGGUAGCUUAAAGUUCUAAUGAAUUGCAUAUA